GGAAAAUAGUUAUCAGCUUUUGUUUUUGAGUGCACGUGCAAUUAUACAGGCCUACCUAACAAGAAGCUUUUUAAAUAAUCUAAAACAGGUUGAUAUUCUGUACUUGCAUCACUGCAGUGGGCCUGUAACGUUACCCCUGAUUCAAAUCCACCUCUCCGUUAAUUCCCCUGAUCUAAUGUUCAAGGGUGCGGCUUCCUUAAUCCACCAAAGAAAUUAAGAACUUAUUCUCAAUUGGGCCAAUUUAGGAGGAGAGUGCCUUCUUUGUGAGGGUCAGAUCAAACUAGAAGCUGUCAUGAAGGUAUAAGGGCAAGCAUCCAACAUAAUUAGCUUAUGGGUGAUUCAGGUUUCCUUAGGUACGUUUCGUCCUCUGAAAUUUUACUUUUGUUAUGUGAAUUUUUUAAUAGUAGUUAUUUGGAUUAUGAAUUCUGGUUUAUGAGUCAUUUGAUAUUGUUUUCUUUUUGUUCCCUUUUGGGCCAUUUUAUGAAUAACAUGUUCGAUUUCUUAUUAGGGCAUUAAUGCACGUAGAUUUAUGUGUUUAUUUGGUUUUGGGAAACUUUGGUAUGCAUUCUAUAGUGUUGAAGUGUGUUUAUAUUGUCCUCUUUUAAUGUGAAUUUCAAAUAAUCCGAGAUUGAAAAUGUGUGCCUGGUCUCUGAUGUGCUUUUGAGUUGGGUACUUAUAGGUUUGCUUUUGUUCCUGAUUGGUAAAUAAGUCACAGGGAGCACAUUUAUACUGAGGAUAAAUGAAAAGGGGGAAAACAAUUAUGCCUUUCAUGAGGAGUGAUUUACAUUUACUAUAUAUUAAUAAUAUUAUACAUGCUAUAGGUUGGUGGUUGUGUUAUUGUUCACAAGGUUUUUUUUGGCGUAUGUACCGUUUUGCCAUUCGGCCUGAUUUGGGUAUUAGUUUGACGCGUGUUAUUUUUUUUGUUACAUGUAUUGCUUUCUGUUGCCCACGUCUAUUCCUUUCUCUCACUUUCUUAUGAAAUCCUGUCACUGGUUGGAGUUUUAUGAUUGCCAAUUCUGUUUAAUCGAUAUCUGAGGGGUUCAUCAAGCUGGCGAGAUUGUUGUGAAAAGAUAGCUGGGAUAUCAUAACCAACAUGUCCAGAGUACAAAUAUGCCUGAGCUUAAUUAGAAGGAAAAUGUCCGGAAGACGAUUUGAGUGUCUUUGUGGAGUGGAGGUGUUAAAUAGUAUAUGGAUUAGAGCUGUGACAAACGAAGAUGAAUAUGGGGCAAGUUUACUGAUUCUUAAUUAUUGUUUUGAUCCUUCCAUCUUGGGUUAUACGAUUCAAUCUUGGAAUACACUGAAGUGGGUUUGUAAAUGGCCGCUGAAUGCGCAUUAUUCGGAAAAGAAACGAUUUCCUCCACCAAUUUUUAUCUACUCAUCUGAUGAGGGAUUUUAUGACUAUAUGAGAGGAGUCAGUUGUUAAAGUUGAAGUCUUGCCAUCGUGAUCAGUCUUCCUUCUAAAGGUUCCUCUGGAACUUUGGGUGACAAGGAGAUAUUGGAGAACGGGGUUGCUGAAAGAGAUAAUUAACAUGCUCAGUCUCAAUCGACAAGGUACCUUAUCAAGAGACUAAGAAGGAUGGAAGCUGCAGGGAAUCCUGGACACAAGAAGAAAGGUGGUAAAGAUCUCUCCAGUUCAGAUCGCAGAGAGUCUGUUGGAGUCAUGGGUCUUCAGCGCUGAUCAAGCUAUAAUGUUACAGCACAUUGGGAGAUUAUGGAGAACUAUACUAGUGGCAAUUUUGGCAAGGUCUACCUAUAUGCUGAUAGUUUCAUGGAUUUUGUGGGUAAGGGUGAUGUUCGCAUCAAACUGUCCAGUAAUGUCACAUGGAUUCUAUGUGACGUGAAACACAUUCGGGGAUAUGCAUGGAAUCAACUUUUUGUGGGUUUGGUGUCUCAAGAAGGCUAUGAGAUGGCACUCUGUCGUGGCACUUGGAAGAUUUCGAAAGGCGACUUUGCUACAUGGUCAUAAAUUCAGUUUCUCUACAAGAGUUUUAGGAACACAACAGGUUUAUGCACAUACCUAGGGAAAUGGAAUGCACGUAUUGUAAUUUUUGAUGCUGAUGGAACUAUUACCAAGUCUGUUUAUGCCA